AUCUGGAGGAAUACCGGUGGCGAAGGCGGCCCCCUGGACGAAGACUGACGCUCAGGUGCGAAAGCGUGGGGAGCAAACAGGAUUAGAUACCCUGGUAGUCCACGCCGUAAACGAUGUCGACUUGGAGGUUGUGCCCUUGAGGCGUGGCUUCCGGAGCUAACGCGUUAAGUCGACCGCCUGGGGAGUACGGCCGCAAGGUUAAAACUCAAAUGAAUUGACGGGGGCCCGCACAAGCGGUGGAGCAUGUGGUUUAAUUCGAUGCAACGCGAAGAACC
rnacentral:rRNA from 1 species